UGAAAAUUAAAUAUUUUUUUAAAAAAAAUAAAACUUAAAUAUUCUUUUAAUUGCAGCAUGGUAGAAGAUUCUGCAUAUUAAAGGUAGCAUAUUAUAGUCAGAGUUGGCCACCAGAUGGCCCUACCAUUAGGUCUCUGAGUCGACGAGCUGCAUGUCCCUCUUUUACCGGGGAGGCCAUCACAAGUAGCUGAUGUACAAUGGUAUUGUUGAUGUGAAGGUGGACCCUGGUAAGCAAUAACAUCCCAAUGAAAAUACCAACUUCUGUGACGGAAAUAACCCGUAAGUAUGAAUUUCUUAUUGCUUUGUUAUAUCAAUUAUAUAUGCUUAUGUGUAAAGCAUCCUGGCAUGACACUCAAUCAAACCGACCAAACAAAAUAUUUUUGUCCUUGUUGGCCGCCCAUACGUGGAUAACCAGGUGGAAUUUGAAUUUUGCUCCUUUUCUAUUUAGAAAACCCAUUGACGAUUAUGAGUUUAAAAAAUUUGCUAGAAAAAUGUUGCAACUGUGAUUAGUCUGUCUCUUCAUAAGAUUGAAUUGUCAAAGUACAUGCAUCCGCUAUCUUAUUUCAGUUUUAGAAUUUAGAUGUUUUUUGAGAACUUCAGUUGUCGUUUCAUUGUAUAUGGGUUCUAUCUAUACAUGUAGACAUAAAAAAUUUAUAAU